rnacentral:rRNA from 1 species
CAUUAAUAUAAUAUUAUAGUUUGUUUUAGUUUUAUAACUAAAAUAGUUUGGCAGCAAGCGAAUCCUUUUAGGGGAAUGUGUAUAGUAAAGGAUGAUCCGCCUACUAAUUUACUUAUAUUAUGUUGGUGUAUAUCUGGUUUAAUAUUAUUGCUUUAGUGGCUGAAUUUGUGUAUAAUAAAUAUUUAAGCCAAGUCUAUGUGCUGCUUGUAUAAGUUUUUAUGCGUUACAGUGAUAAUGUUAGAUUUGUAAAAGUUUAUUAUUUAGGACUUAAGAGUAAUGCAAAUUUAUUUUGUUUGUGUGAAAUAGGUUUAGCUUGGGUACACACCGCCCGUCACCCUCGAUAGUUGUUGAG